AUGAACGCUAGCUACAGGCUUAACACAUGCAAGUCGAGGGGCAGCAUUUUAGUUUGCUUGCAAACUAAAGAUGGCGACCGGCGCACGGGUGAGUAACACGUAUCCAACCUGCCGAUAACUCGGGGAUAGCCUUUCGAAAGAAAGAUUAAUAUCCGAUGGUAUAUUAAAACCGCAUGGUUUUACUAUUAAAGAAUUUCGGUUAUCGAUGGGGAUGCGUUCCAUUAGUUUGUUGGCGGGGUAACGGCCCACCAAGACUACGAUGGAUAGGGGUUCUGAGAGGAAGGUCCCCCACAUUGGAACUGAGACACGGUCCAAACUCCUACGGGAGGCAGCAGUGAGGAAUAUUGGUCAAUGGACGAGAGUCUGAACCAGCCAAGUAGCGUGAAGGAUGACUGCCCUAUGGGUUGUAAACUUCUUUUAUAUGGGAAUAAAGUAUUCCACGUGUGGGAUUUUGUAUGUACCAUAUGAAUAAGGAUCGGCUAACUCCGUGCCAGCAGCCGCGGUAAUACGGAGGAUCCGAGCGUUAUCCGGAUUUAUUGGGUUUAAAGGGAGCGUAGGUGGAUUGUUAAGUCAGUUGUGAAAGUUUGCGGCUCAACCGUAAAAUUGCAGUUGAAACUGGCAGUCUUGAGUACAGUAGAGGUGGGCGGAAUUCGUGGUGUAGCGGUGAAAUGCUUAGAUAUCACGAAGAACUCCGAUUGCGAAGGCAGCUCACUAGACUGCAACUGACACUGAUGCUCGAAAGUGUGGGUAUCAAACAGGAUUAGAUACCCUGGUAGUCCACACAGUAAACGAUGAAUACUCGCUGUUUGCGAUAUACAGUAAGCGGCCAAGCGAAAGCAUUAAGUAUUCCACCUGGGGAGUACGCCGGCAACGGUGAAACUCAAAGGAAUUGACGGGGGCCCGCACAAGCAGUGGAGUAUGUGGUUUAAUUCGAAGCAACGCGAAGAACCUUACCUGGUCUUGACAUCCUUCUGACCGGUCCUUAACCGGACCUUUCCUUCGGGACAGGAGUGACAGGUGGUGCAUGGUUGUCGUCAGCUCGUGUCGUGAGAUGUUGGGUUAAGUCCCGCAACGAGCGCAACCCUUACUGUCAGUUACUACGCAAGAGGACUCUGGCAGGACUGCCGUUGACAAAACGGAGGAAGGUGGGGAUGACGUCAAAUCAGCACGGCCCUUACGUCCGGGGCUACACACGUGUUACAAUGGGGGGUACAGAAGGCAGCUACCUGGUGACAGGAUGCUAAUCCCAAAAACCUCUCUCAGUUCGGAUCGAAGUCUGCAACCCGACUUCGUGAAGCUGGAUUCGCUAGUAAUCGCGCAUCAGCCAUGGCGCGGUGAAUACGUUCCCGGGCCUUGUACACACCGCCCGUCAAGCCAUGAAAGCCGGGGGUACCUGAAGUACGUAACCGCAAGGAGCGUCCUAGGGUAAAACUGGUAAUUGGGGCU
rnacentral:rRNA from 1 species